UACGGAGGGUGCGAGCGUUAAUCGGAAUUACUGGGCGUAAAGCGUACGCAGGCGGUUUGUUAAGCGAGAUGUGAAAGCCCCGGGCUCAACCUGGGAUGGUCAUUUAGAACUGGCAGGCUAGAGUCUUGUAGAGGGGGGUAGAAUUCCAGGUGUAGCGGUGAAAUUCGUAGAUAUUUGGAGGAACACCAGUGGCGAAGGCGACUUGCUGGGCUGAUACUGACGCUGAGGUGCGAAAGCGUGGGGAGCAAACAGG
rnacentral:rRNA from 1 species